GCCGCGGCGGGAGGGAAGAUGGCGGCGGCGGGCGGGGGGGGUGCCGUGGUGUCGGUGCUGGCCCCCAGCGGGCGGCGGGUCACGGUGCGGGUGGGGCCCGGCACGGUGCUGCUGCAGAUCCUCGAGGAGGUCUGCAGGAAGCAGGGCGGCAGCCCCGGCGAGUACGGCCUGAAGUUUCAGAGGAGUGUGUUGGAUCUCUCUUUACAGUGGAGAUUUGCCAGACUGCCCAACAAUGCCAAGCUGGAGAUGGUGCCAGUCUCUAAUAGAGUGGGAAUUGGAAACACGGUUCGGAUUGCAUUACAAUUAGAUGAUGGCUCCCGUUUACAAGACACCUUUCUCUGUCAACAGACUUUGUGGGAACUUCUCAACCAUUUUGCCAAGAUCAGGGAGCUUAUGGAACAGCAUGGUGAAUUCUCUCCAGUCUGUAUUUACAUGAGAGAUGAGAUAUCAGGAAAAGAUGCCCUAGAGAAGACAACACUGAAGUCACUUGGCCUGACUGGAGGCAGUGCCAUCAUCAGAGUUGUCAUGAAGAAAUGCAGUUCAUCUGGUCGAGAGGAAGCUGUGGGUGCCACGGUGCAGUGUAAUGAGCUGACAGUGAGGCCAGGCUCUAUUGAAGGAGCAGUGGAUGUGCCCCUACCUCAAGCAAACACAUUCCCAAAGGACUUGGACCACAGGGAUGUGGCCAUGUCUUUGAACAGCUGCACAGACAAGCAAGACUUGGUUAGAGAAUCUCAUGCCAGCUUGGAGGAGCUGUGGCCUUCCUCAGAACCCGAGUCUACCCCUUUUGUCCCUUUUUUUGGAGAUGGACAGCGUCUGGGGGACUCUUCUGUAGCUGCACCAUCUCUUGGGUUAGAUAUGCCAUCUUCAAAGCUGCCAACAACUUUUUCCAGCCCCGGAGGCCCUUCUAAGCCAAAGAAGUCUAAGAACAGCCAAGAACUGCAAAAGGAGCAAGAACAGCUUGUAGAACGAGAGCCACUUGUAUGUCACCUAGACCUACUAGAACCACUUUCUGCUGGCCCAGAAGAGCUUCCUGAUGAGUUUUUUGAAGUCACAGUGGAUGAUGUACGGAAACGUUUGGCACAGCUGCAGAGUGAGAGGAAACGCCUGGAAGAAGCUCCACUGAUGACAAAAUCUUUGAGGGAGGCUCAGCUGAAGGAGAAGUUAGAGCGUUACCCAAAGGUGGUAUUGAGAGUCCGUUUUCCAGACCGUCACGUUCUACAGGGGUUCUUCCGUCCUAGUGAAACUGUUGGCAUUUUGAGAGACUUUGUCAGAAGCCACCUUGCAGAUGCAGACUUGCCAUUUUACUUGUUUAUUGCACCUCCCAGAACCAUCUUGAACGAUGAAAGUUUGACACUCUUUGAGGAUUUUUUGAAUGCGUGUGUCUGGAGAUACCUAGUGAAGGAGUAAGUAUCGAGAUGUUAUUUGGGGAGGGUCCUGCCUGAAAUGUUUUCUGUGCUCUAGAGAACAAGUUACUAAAACAUGCAGUAGAACAAAGCAGAAAUGUUUCUCUUGCGUGUCGCAGCUGGAUUCACAGGGGAAUGUUGUUCUAGUGUAGAUAUUUUUAUCAUGGAAUGCAAGAUGCAGUAGCCCCAGUAUACCACUCUACAGCCAGGAUGCCCUGCUGUCAUAAACCACGCUCACCACUAUGGUGUCUGAGAAACUGCACUAUGUGUGUCUGAAAUAAAACUUUGAGUUACUUAGCUACAUGGUUUCAGACUAAAUGUGGCUUUGUGAGUAACCGGCUGGUCUUCAGCUUUCAGAAAUGGAAAGCGUUCAUUUAAACUUCUGCAACUGUAACUAAGUAAAUUGAUGAAGCUGUGCUAUUUAGAUCUUUUUAAAAUCUGAGGAGUUGGACAUUUGGAAUGAUACUCCUUAAGGGGGGGGGGCAGGACAGUAAGCAGAACAUUGGCUUCCUCCACUUCUUGCCUCAUCAGUGACUUUCUGAUUCCUUCGGAAGAAAGCUGUCCUGUGAUUAAGGCCUUGGAUGGGACUCUGGAGACUUAUAUACGUAGUUCUCAUUUCUGCUACUGCCAUCCUGUGUGACCUUGAAUAAAUUAUUUAAUCUCUUUAGGUCUCAGUUUUUCAUUUGUACAAAAAAAAAAAAAAAACCAAACCCAAAAAAACGAAAUCUCAUACUUUCUUACAUUUUUAUUUAUAUUGCAUGUUGCUGCUUAUUACACAUAUAUAACUGUACAAUGGGAUACCAUUUUCAAUUGGAUCUCUAGGUCCUGGUGCAAUAAAAAUAAUAAUCUAACUGUACUUUGUAAAUAUGCCUUGCACAGUGUGAUUUGAACAUUAUAAUUUGAUAGAUUAAUAGCAUCUAUUUUCCCAGUCAGAAUGGUAUUGUAUCUUUGGUUGGAAAUCAAAGCAGCAAGGAAGAGAACUGCUGGAUAUUUGAGUAUAGUAACUAGCUGUUGACGAAUUCAUAUUGUAGUAAUUCUUCACAUAUAACUGAAUGGAGUUUUUUGAAUAUUUGUUUCAAACAGCCUAUGAUUCUUCUGGUCAAUCUGACAGGCUCAGUGUGACUCUAAGAGGUUUCUAAAUCUGUUUGAUUCACAGAUAUUCUUAUAAGAAUCCUAUGCAGUGAGGUUAAGAACUGCAGAGUUCUUCUAGAGACAUUGAUAAAUGCAUUAGAACAACUGCAAAUGAGGAAGUACCACCUGACUUGAGAAUAUAGUUUUCAGGUAAUGGUCUGCCCAGUAUUUGAUCCUUGCAUUCUUAGCAGUGUUAGGGAACACUAAAGGCUCCAACUUUGGGUUUGUAUGUUUUCCUGGACUGCAGCUACUAAAGCCUUCACAUCUUUAUGCCAAGACAUUCUUUGGCCAGUGGGAUCAUUCCACUGGCUUUUUUUUUUUUUUUUUUUUUUUUAAUAAUGUGAAAUUGGUGCUAAUUUAAAUACUUUCGUGUUACAAAAAAAAAAUCUCAGACAGCGUUAUGUCCUGCCAGUGACUGGCUGGAGAAUUCUUGGGGUGAUCAGUGAGAUGUAGCUAGCUGCCUUCUGUACUGAACCCUCAGUAGGUACUGAAACUGGGAUGGUACCUGAGAAUUCUGCACAAAGGAAACAAGACAAAGGGUUGUAUGACUGAGCAAGUAGUCUUACUUGAAUUGAAGAAAAAGAACUUAUUGGAUGUAAAUUUGGCAAGAGGGGACUCUGUGUUGGCUGACCCCUAGGAAAGGAUAGUCAUGCAGGGAAAUGAGCCAUGGGAAGGAGGUUGCAUUCUGUAUACUUGUGAGCUGCUGUCUAGUUCCUUUAAGUUUCUUUCAAUUAAAACAUUUUGAACUGAAACAUUUGGACUGAUGUUUUGCCAGCAGUGGGAAAUGGUUGUGGACGUGGAUUCUGAAACUUAGAACUAUGGUUAUUUGUCAACCUGUGAGUAAAUAGGGUAGAGGUUUAUAUUGGGGCACAUUCUGUCUGUGUGUUUGUGUGGUUGAGUGUGUCUGUCUAGCUCUUCGUCUGUCUUUCUCACUCUCUUUUUCUCUUUGUGCCUCAUGCAGGCCCUGCCAUGAAUUUUCUCUGACCCCUUGGGGCCAUUCCCACAUGAAGCUUUGAUGUGUGUGCCCAGAGCUUGAUUGACAAGGAAGUUUCGGUGGCGGCAGCAGGGAAACGAAGAGAAAAGGGCAGGGCUUUGAACUAAAGGGCUUUGAGCUCUGAGAUGCUGUGCUUACUUAUCUCCUUCAGAAUGUUAAUUAUUUACCAAGAUAAUUGGUCGGGAGGGGAAAAAAAGAGAGGGGAGGUUAUUAAAAAAUUCCAACACUAACACGCUACAAAAACCUCAUUUUCCAACUUGCAGCUGGCAUGAAAAGGAUGUUGUGUGUAAAAGGGCUUGAGUGUAUGUGUGUUGGGGGGGCAGGGGGGGCCUUGCUAAGGCACCCAUUUCCUAAAUAGAGGGAUCCCUUCAGACGAAUGCAGCGGAAACAUCAAAGCUCUUGCAGGAGUUUUCUCUGGGGUUUCUAAACUGUGUCUGGUACUUUUUAAUUAAAAAAGUUUAUGGAGAGCCGUCUUUGUGACUGGAGCAGGCAACCUUAGGCCCUGCUGAUUGAGGAAUGAAAUGUUAAAAGACCUAAUAAAUAAUGAUUUCUGCUAAAAUGUCAGUUCAAGGAUGUGAAGAUGCCUGGCUACUUUAGCAGGAUCUGAGACUUGGAGUAGACUGAUGAAUGUCUCCUGCUUCAGCCUAACAUGAUGUAGGCCAUACUGUAUGUGAAAGUCUCCUACAGCCUUUGGAUUAAUGUAAAAAAAUUUGUAAUACCACAUACUCAUUUGAAGUUUGUAGUCAGGAAGAUAGGUGAAACUGUUUCAUUUUGUCUCCAGUUAAUGCAGUUUUAUUAGUCUCUGUAUUAGGUAGCAAUCCACAGGCUCCUCCAUGAAGAUCAGGGUUCCUUUGAGUUCUGGUAAUUGCUGUGCUGGAUCAGGUCCAAGGACUGUCAUUCCAGUAUCCUGACUGUGCUGAUGGUGGCAACAGAGGUUCAAGAAAACUCCAGAGCAGGCAGCCUGCCCUGCACAGUUCCUAAGUAUGCGUUAAUGAUAUGAAGAGGGGCAGUUGCUUGCUUUUAUUUAUUCAUUUAUUGGAUCAAGGUGAGAAAUUUAGUGUUACUGUUUUGCCAGAGUAAAUGUAGACCAUUAAUCAACAUUUUCUGUACAGUUUCUGGCUAUGACAGUAUUUACCUCUUUUACACUAUGAUGAAUUGGUUUCUUUACCUGUCUCUUAGUAUAAGGCCUUCUGAAAGCUUAAAAUAAUUGUUUCAGCUGGUUUUUCUUUAUGUAGUAUUAUACUGAUGUGUUAAUUCUGGUAAUAAGUGUGAUAUUUUUCUUUCAGAAUCCUUACUGGUACAGCUGGUUACACCAUAUCAUAUUAAUCUUCCACAUAUCACCUUCAAACCCUUUCAAAAAUACAAGCCUGUGCUUGCAGCAGUGUCUGUUUUUAGUGCGAAGCUUAAUAAUUUUAAAUCUCUUACUCUGCAGUCCCUUGAGAACACUUGGAUGUACCAUCUGGACAUGGUGAUAUAGUGCUUGUUAAUGUACCACUUAGUUCCAGCACCAUUUUUUUCUACUGCUUCAGUUUCUUUGAGGGUGUGAUGUCACACUAUAAUCACUAGAAGUGGCAGAGCAAGCUUCAUAGGCUAAACUCUUUCCAACUGCUGUCAUUCAUUUUGGAUCUGAGGAGUACAGGGAUUGUUACCUGAAAUCGGACCUGCUGAGCUCUGCAGUUUCCCCUUCUGCAGCUGAUUUAUU